UACGUAGGGUGCGAGCGUUAAUCGGAAUUACUGGGCGUAAAGCGUGCGUAGGUGGUUUGUUAAGUCUGAUGGUGAAAUCCCCCGGGCUUAACCCUGGGACCUGCAUUUGUGACUGCAUUGCUGGAGUGCGGCAGAGGGGGAUGGAAUUCCGCGUGUAGCAGUGAAAUGCGUAGAUAUGCGGAGGAACACCGAUGGCGAAGGCAAUCCCCUGGGCCUGCACUGACGCUCAUGCACGAAGCGUGGGAGCAAC
rnacentral:rRNA from 1 species